UUAGAACAGGUGUUUCCUAUCAGUAGAGCGAGAGUUGGUUUCUUCUGUUUCUUUUGAUUGCUCUCAUGGAAAUUAUGGGUGCGUCAGAAGCAAGGAGAAGCCUUAUAUGGAAGCAAAGGCAGCUGCCUCUGGCUACUGAAUAUAACCAAACCUGUCAGUAAUCUUAGGCCUUCCAGGGACAAGAAAAGAAACGCAAGAGGGAGAUUUCAUGGCAAUAAGAAACCCUGAAAAUAACCAACAGGGCAGGCGGAGAGACAGUGGAGUUCAUCGUCCCAGAUGCUCUUCAGUGUCCUUUCUAGCGCCAAAAUGUUAGAAUCACAAGGAGAGAAAUGGGCCGGGGUGGGGAGCAGUGCAGGCACCAAGGCGGAGGAAGAAGUCGCGCGGGCAGAGCAUGAGGUCGCGGGGGAGCGGCCAAAGCUCCAGGUCCCAGACGCAGCCGCAGAGGCGGCAGGGACGGGUGGCUGGGAGGGAACGGAGAGGCUUCCCAAGCCUCGGCAAGAAGAGAGGACUUCGACAGACGCCACUACUUAUCUGCACACGCCGCUCACUUUCCACCUUCUGGUCCUUGUUAGCGCUUGUCCUACGGAGCACACACGCCAUCUCAUAAUGCUCCAGGUUGAAAUUCUACCUGCCUUUAAGGAUCUCCUCAAAUACAAUCUUUUUCGUCUGAAGCCUUUCUUCUCUCUAACCGGAUACGAUUUCCUUUGGCGCCUUAUUAUAUUUUAAUUUCCCUUUUAUUAUAAGUGUCUAUCUACCGCUUUCUUCUAGCCUAGAGGCCGUGUGUGUGUUUGUGUGUGUAUUCCCUUCGUGAAAAGAGCUAUAAUUUUUGAAUCGUAAAGAGGCCACCCUGUCUCUGACCGUCCCUAAGCAGACACUUUGCCAUGACACCUGAUGACGGAGGCGUGUAGCUGGGGUGGUGUUGGUUUCCCGGAAGCCCUAUAUCACCUGCCAGGGCAACCAGCCUGUGUGGCCCAGCGUACCCUAAACAUCCUGUCUUUCCUUUCCCUGCAGAUACUCAGGCAUUGUAAACCCAUAACGUAUUUUCCAUUGCUGUUGCCAAAGAUAGCUGUGCACUGUUGACAGAUUCAAAACCCGUGUUCGUUGCUUAUGACAGAGUUGGGCUGAUCAGUUGAAAAUUCUUGCCAGUUCCUUACAGGAGGAAGGGUCUCCCUAGUGGGAGCAGCGGAUAGAGGGGUCGAUGGCAGAGGAAGAGAGUGAAGUGAACCAGCCCCUCCUUAUCAGCAUGUGUCCUGGCCCAGGGAGGUGAAACAAACAUACUCUGUGCUUAUUUUCACGGCCUCAUUAACCGUGCAGAUCAUCGGAAAAGCAGGAACGAGGCAAACAGUCCACUGCAGCACAUUUGCCUGGGACGUCAUUUGACAGGCAUUCCUGAGCAUCUCAGAAAAAAUGGCAUUCCCAAACUUCUUAAAACAAAGUGUUUUCCAGACACACCCUUAUGCAGACAGAAAUUUAAAGUGAAAAGGAGUGAAGCCCAUGGGUUUGGAGGCUGGAAGAUGAGGCCUGGCCCUUCUCGGCUACCAAUGCAUGGGAUCUGGGGCGGUAUUACACCACUCAUCUUGAUCUGAAAAAGGAGGGAGCUGGACCAGAUGAUCCUGCAAUGUCCCCUCCCCUUCGAGGAAUCUGUACAGUAUGGCGCUGUGUUCAUGGAGACAGCUGUGACUCGCAACUGCAUUUUCUAAUAGUGUGAUAACACACACAAGCAGCUGCACGAUUACU